rnacentral:rRNA from 1 species
GUGGGGAAUCUUCCGCAAUGGACGAAAGUCUGACGGAGCGACGCCGCGUGAGUGAAGAAGGCCUUCGGGUCGUAAAGCUCUGUCAUCAGGGACGAACGGCCGGUGGAGUGGAAAGCCACCGGAUUGACGGUACCUGAGAAGGAAGCCACGGCUAACUACGUGCCAGCAGCCGCGGUAAUACGUAGGUGGCAAGCGUUGUCCGGAAUUAUUGGGCGUAAAGCGCGCGCAGGUGGGAUCUUAAGUCCAUUUUUAAAGUUCGGAGCUCAACUCCGUGAUGGGAUGGAAACUGGGAUUCUUGAGUACCGGAGAGGAAAGCGGAAUUCCCCGUGUAGCGGUGAAAUGCGUAGAUAUGGAGAGGAACACCAGUGGCGAAGGCGGCUUUCUGGACGGUGUCUGACACUGAGGCGCGAAAGCCAGGGGAGCGAACGGGAUUAGAAACCCUGGUAGUCC